rnacentral:rRNA from 1 species
ACUUAGCAGAGAUGCUUUGGUGCCUUCGGGAACUCUGAGACAGGUGCUGCAUGGCUGUCGUCAGCUCGUGUUGUGAAAUGUUGGGUUAAGUCCCGCAACGAGCGCAACCCUUAUCCUUUGUUGCCAGCGGUCCGGCCGGGAACUCAAAGGAGACUGCCAGUGAUAAACUGGAGGAAGGUGGGGAUGACGUCAAGUCAUCAUGGCCCUUACGAGUAGGGCUACACACGUGCUACAAUGGCGCAUACAAAGAGAAGCGACCUCGCGAGAGCAAGCGGACCUCAUAAAGUGCGUCGUAGUCCGGAUUGGAGUCUGCAACUCGACUCCAUGAAGUCGGAAUCGCUAGUAAUCGUAGAUCAGAAUGCUACGGUGAAUACGUUCCCGGGCCUUGUACACACCGCCCGUCACACCAUGGGAGUGGGUUGCAAAAGAAGUAGGUAGCUUAACCUUCGGGAGGGCGCUUACCACUUUGUGAUUCAUGACUGGGGUGAAGUCGUAACAAGGUAACCGUAGGGGAACCUGCGGCUGGAUCACCUCCUUAAGGGAGAAUUCGUUUAAA